rnacentral:rRNA from 1 species
UACGUAGGGACCAAGCGUUGUUCGGAUUUACUGGGCGUAAAGGGCGCGUAGGCGGCAAUUCAAGUCAUCUGUGAAAUCUCCGGGCUUAACUCGGAAUGGUCAGGUGAUACUGCUUUGCUAGAGUGCAGAAGGGGCAAUCGGAAUUCUUGGUGUAGCGGUGAAAUGCGUAGAUAUCAAGAGGAACACCAGUGGCGAAGGCGAGUCCCUGGACGAUACCUGACACUGAGGCACGAAAGCCAAGGGAGCAAACAGG